rnacentral:rRNA from 1 species
UAAGACAGAGGUCCCGAGCGUUAGGCGGAAUCACUGGGCUUAAAGCGUGUGUAGGCGGAUGCCUAAGUACCUUGUGAAAUCCCACGGCUCAACCGUGGAACUGCUUGGUAUACUGGGUGUCUUGAGCCACUUAGGGGCGACCGGAACAGACGGUGGAGCGGUGAAAUGCGUAGAUAUCGUCUGGAACGCCAAUGGUGAAAACAGGUCGCUGGGAGUGUGCUGACGCUGAGACACGAAAGCCAGGGGAGCAAACGGGAUUAGAUACCCCGGUAGUCCUGGCCGUAAACGAUGUCGACUAGAUCGUGGUAGCUCUGACGUUAUCACGGUCGAAGUAAAAAUGUUAAGUCGACCGCCUGGGAAGUACGGUCGCAAGGCUA